rnacentral:rRNA from 1 species
CGGGUGGCAGCAGUGGGGAAUUUUGGACAAUGGGGGCAACCCUGAUCCAGCAAUGCCGCGUGAGUGAAGAAGGCCUUCGGGUUGUAAAGCUCUUUUGUCAGGGAAGAAAAGGUAGUCUCUAAUACAGACUGCUCAUGACGGUACCUGAAGAAUAAGCACCGGCUAACUACGUGCCAGCAGCCGCGGUAAUACGUAGGGUGCAAGCGUUAAUCGGAAUUACUGGGCGUAAAGCGUGCGCAGGCGGUUAUAUAAGUCAGAUGUGAAAUCCCUGGGCUCAACCUAGGAACUGCAUUUGAGACUGUAUGGCUAGAGUGUGUCAGAGGGGGGUAGAAUUCCACGUGUAGCAGUGAAAUGCGUAGAUAUGUGGAGGAAUACCGAUGGCGAAGGCAGCCCCCUGGGAUAACACUGACGCUCAUGCACGAAAGCGUGGGGAGCAAACAGGAUUAGAUACCCCCGU